rnacentral:rRNA from 1 species
CCUACGGUGGGCAGCAGUGGGGAAUAUUGCACAAUGGGGGAAACCCUGAUGCAGCGACGCCGCGUGAGUGAAGAAGUAUUUCGGUACGUAAAGCUCUAUCAGCAGGGAAGAAAAUGACGGUACCUGACUAAGAAGCCACUGCUAACUACGUGCCAGCAGCCGCGGUCAUACGUAGGGGGCAAGCGUUAUCCGGAUUUACUGGUGGUAAAGGGAGCGUAGACGGCAGCGCAAGUCUGGAGGGAAAUCCCAUGGCUUAAACAUGGAACUGCUUUGGAAACUGUGCAGCUAGAGUGCAGGAGAGGUAAGCGGAAUUCCUAGUGUAGCGGUGAAAUGCGUAGAUAUUAGGAGGAACACCAGUGGCGAAGGCGGCUUACUGGACUGUAACUGACGUUGAGGCUCGAAAGCGUGGGGAGCAAACAGGAUUAGAUACCCCUGUAGUC